ensembl:lncRNA
CUUACACCCCUCUACCCCGGAUAACAGCUAAUCCCCUCUGCUCCCGGCAGUGCUGGGCCGCUGGGCUGAGAGGCCCGGCCCGCUGCUGGCGAGGGCAGGGAGGGGAAGGGGAGACAAGGAGGGGGGAUUACCUGAGCAAAUCGGCGUCUGAAUCCAACGAGAAUCCGAGAGAGGGGGAGAGAAAUCCGCCCCCCUCCCUCCUCAGAGGAGCCGCCGCCGCCGCUGGGCCGCCGCCGCCGCCGCGGAGCAGGAGGAGGAGGGGAGAUAAUAUAACAACAAUAAUCCGGGCCGGGAGGGGGGCUGGCUCCUCUUCCGUCUCCUCCUCAGUGCAGCGAACAUGUAGAGCCGGGGGGUGUGCGGCCGAGGCAAAUCCCUUCCCCCCGAGCCUGCUUCACAACAUCAACACGGGUCGGGCCGCGCCGCGCCGAACCGGUUCCGAGCCGCGCUCCGAGCCGGGGAGAGCGGAGGGUGGCCCAGGGGCAGCGCUGCCAAGGGGCCGCCGCCGCCGCCGCUCCCUCCGAGAGUGCGAGCGCAGGAGGGCGGGGAGGGGCGGCCUGGGCACGGUGAGUCGGUACCGAGCGGGGGGGCAGAGGGAGAGAAGGGCGAGGAGGAGGAGGAGGAGGGGGAAGGAUCCUGUGUGUGUCUCUCUCGCUCCCUCUCAGAACAAAAUGCCGACCGGAAGUGCAGCGGCAGGAAUGACUCCCUCCACCGGCGCCAAACACCAGCAACCUCCCCCUUCCCUCCGCUGCCUCCUCCUCGCCCGAACGCUCCCUCGCUCCACCAGCGCCGCUUCCGCCGCUGCAGCUGGAGGGGCUCCCUUGCCUCGCCUCUCCCAGCAGAGCCUCCCCUGCGUAGCUCCUCUCCCUGCUGCACGACCUUCUCUUUUUUCCCCCUUUUUAAAAAUUUUCUCCCUCUUCCCGGCCUUUUGGUGCGCGGAACGAGACCGAAGUUUAUGCUUAAGCCUCCGCUGAGGAUUUGCGAAGAAGGGAUUCUCUUGGAAAAAAAUACACGUUUUGGUGUUUAUUUUUCUGUCCUGCCUAAGCAUGGUGGAGGAGGACUGCAAAAGGCUGCCUCGCAGGAGGCAGACCUGGAAAGGGCUCUUAAACUGAACCCUCAGAGGCGGCAGCCCCUGGAGGUGGGACACUCGCUGGAGUUACUGUCGCCGCUCAUGCCCUUUCUAUGUGGAUGUGAGAGGCCGCGCCGCAGGAACCGAAACACCCGCUGCUCAAAGCAUUGCCGGGGCGAGGGAUUUCCAGAGAUGGACAUACGAAAAGGGAGUGGCUUUCAAAAACGGGCUUUUUGGACGAGCACCGGGGAAAAUGCUGAUGUUCAGGUGAAAUGUCCUUCGCUGGAGGCUGAGGCUCCACCGCCACUAUAUUUACUGUAA